GGGACUGAAGGACUGGCAACAUCCAACAGAGUUUAAAUCAGCUGAUCGUCUUCAUUUGUUUGCCCUGAAGAAAAAAACAUGGCCGCGGUCACACUAACCUAACGUUCAAGACAGUAAUUUAAAGGCGGCGUUUUGAGUCUUAUCACUUAAAAAAAUUAGGUAACUACAAUUUUAAAUUGAAACUCGAGACCUUGAUGAAAUCACCAAAUAACUCCACAAGUCGUUGGAAGCCUCAAGCCUCUCUCCGUAUGCCACUCCCAGAGCCGCGGGGUGAACAUGGCUUCAGCUUCACACAAUUUGUUUUCAUGGAAACAACUGAAUUUACUAUUUUAAAAUAGACUCAUAGAAUAAUAAUCGAUAGAAUUCACAUUUUUUUAAUUUCAAAAUUAAUUGGUACCAUUUCAUAAUGAUAGUUACGCAAUUUAAACUCCUUGGCCUAUCUAUAAUUGAGGGACCGCCGACGAUCACUUUAAUUAAUUAGAUAUCUGGACCGAUAUCGAAAAAACUGUGUGGUUGCAUGAAAAAAUACAGUAUAUUUGUUUGCGA